rnacentral:rRNA from 1 species
ACAAGCGGUGGAGCAUGUUGGUUUAAUUCGACGCAACGCGAAGAACCUUACCAGGGCUUGACAUCCUCUGACCGCAUAUGAAAGUAUGUUUUCUGGCUUCGGUCAGACAGAGAGACAGGUGGUGCAUGGUUGUCGUCAGCUCGUGUCGUGAGAUGUUGGGUUAAGUCCCGCAACGAGCGCAACCCCUACGUUUAGUUGCUAACGUGUAACGAUGAGCACUCUAGGCGGACUGCCGUUGACAAAACGGAGGAAGGUGGGGAUGACGUCAAAUCAUCAUGCCCCUUAUGUUCUGGGCUACACACGUGCUACAAUGGCCGGUACAAAGGGACGCAAAGCCGCGAGGUGGAGCAAAUCCGAUAAAAGCCGGUCUCAGUUCGGAUUGCAGGCUGCAAUUCGCCUGCAUGAAGUCGGAAUCGCUAGUAAUCGCAGGUUAGCAUACUGCGGUGAAUACGUUCCCGGGCCUU